CCCGCUCAGAAAAUCCUGCCAGGCAAAGCCAAGAAGAUACCAGCAGCAGCAUCGUUAAAUAACAAUCCCUGAAAUUCACUCCAGAAGCCUGGGUCUGCUUGUCCUUGGCGGUCAGAAGGAAGGCUGUGAUUGGUCAGCUGAGCUUGUCCUAGAGGGCCUUAUCUCUGGCUGGUUAUUAUUUGAUUAAAGAGGCUUCCUCCUUCCGUGGUGUUUCAAAACUGUGCUGGAGAGUUUGCUGCUUCCCCAGGGACUCUUUCUGAGGUUACUCCCGAGCACCCAAAGUCCUUCCAUCUCUGGCCUUACAAACAGGCAGGCAGAGGAGAUUUUCAUUCAUCCCCUAGUCCCCUGCAUGCAGGCUUGGGGCUGUUUGUUCCAGAGUCUCCAUCUGCUGUGCUGAUCAACUGCUUGGACAUACUCAAGCAGCACAGAGUCAAGGAUACAGCGCAUGAUUUGGAAGUUACUCUUUGUGACAUGGAUGAAUCUGCACUGACACUUGGCACAAUAGACGUUUCUUAUUUGCCAAAUUCAUCUGAAUACAGUAUUGGUCGAUGUAAGCAUGCAAGUGAGGAAUGGGGUGAGUGUGGUUUCAGACCACCUGUCUUCAGAUCUGCAACCUUAAAGUGGAAAGAAAGCCUAAUGAGCCGGAAAAGGCCCUUUGUGGGACGAUGUUGUUAUUCCUGUACUCCUCAGAGCUGGGUAAGAAUGUUACCUUUCAUAUCUUUGUUGAUGUUUAAUCAACACAGUGAAAUAUGUGACAUAGAUUUCCAACUUGUGUGAAUUUUAUUAUUUUGGAGUCUUAAGGGACUUAACACAUUUUUAGAACUUAGGCCCUAGUUUAGAAACUAAAUAUUCUAAGUGAAGAUGUUGACCUGCUUUUUCUUUCCAUUGAUUAAUUCAGUGAAUGAAUAUUGGUCUAAUUGUUGAUGCCAGGCACUUUUUUUUUUUUAAGUUUUCGUUUUAGUAUGACUUUAGGGGGAGACUAGAUCUUACUUUCAGAUAACUCUUCCAAAGAGUUGCUGGGAACCUUCAAGUAACUUCAGCAUGUUGAACUUUAGCACUCAACAUUAAAAUCCUAGCAAGAUGAGAGAGAGAGAGAAAGAGACAGAGAGCAUGUGCUAAUGAGCAGGACAGAAUACAAAGUAAAGCUGUGGCUUUGCCAUGCUCUCUCUUUUGCUAAGUGUCUGUCCCUAGGGGAGAAGGGUAGGGUGUCUGUUGACUCUGUGAUAGUGAUGGAUGUUCACUAAAAUAUUAGGAUGAAGAUUCAAGAAAGACUGUGCAUGAAUUUGUUGCUUGUAUUUCGGUGAAAAAACACAAGCCAUCCACAUUACAGUGUAGUAUUGGAGUUGACUGGCUAAGAAGUAUGCUUCUGGGGGCAUUUUGCCAGCGGGAUGAGUUAGCAUAGGAAGGGAGAAUUGAGCACGGCUGUGUUCUAAGGCAGUGGAGUUCAUUGCUUUAUAAAAGGUAUCCCUGACUGGUAAGCUCUCUCUGGGAUGGGCCAGUUAUCAGGACAUUUAAGUGCCAUUUAUUAACCCUGCCAUUUACA